rnacentral:rRNA from 1 species
GGGGGGGGGGGGCUACCAUGCAAGUCGAGCGGUAGCACAGAGAGCUUGCUCUCGGGUGACGAGCGGCGGACGGGUGAGUAAUGUCUGGGAAACUGCCUGAUGGAGGGGGAUAACUACUGGAAACGGUAGCUAAUACCGCAUAACGUCGCAAGACCAAAGUGGGGGACCUUCGGGCCUCAUGCCAUCAGAUGUGCCCAGAUGGGAUUAGCUAGUAGGUGGGGUAACGGCUCACCUAGGCGACGAUCCCUAGCUGGUCUGAGAGGAUGACCAGCCACACUGGAACUGAGACACGGUCCAGACUCCUACGGGAGGCAGCAGUGGGGAAUAUUGCACAAUGGGCGCAAGCCUGAUGCAGCCAUGCCGCGUGUAUGAAGAAGGCCUUCGGGUUGUAAAGUACUUUCAGCGGGGAGGAAGGCGAUAAGGUUAAUAACCUUGUCGAUUGACGUUACCCGCAGAAGAAGCACCGGCUAACUCCGUGCCAGCAGCCGCGGUAAUACGGAGGGUGCAAGCGUUAAUCGGAAUUACUGGGCGUAAAGCGCACGCAGGCGGUCUGUCAAGUCGGAUGUGAAAUCCCCGGGCUCAACCUGGGAACUGCAUUCGAAACUGGCAGGCUAGAGUCUUGUAGAGGGGGGUAGAAUUCCAGGUGUAGCGGUGAAAUGCGUAGAGAUCUGGAGGAAUACCGGUGGCGAAGGCGGCCCCCUGGACAAAGACUGACGCUCAGGUGCGAAAGCGUGGGGAGCAAACAGGAUUAGUUUUUUUUUUUCACACAA